rnacentral:rRNA from 1 species
GUCCACGGCCAUAACGGUGGGGGAAACACCCGUUCCCAUUCCGAACACGGAAGUUAAGCCCUGCCGUGUUGCUGGUUGUACUGUCCCGCAUGGGAUGGGAAGCCAGCAAGCCGUGGACA